CUCACGUGAUCCACCCGCCUCAGCCUCCCAAAGUGCUGGGAUCACAGGCACCGGCCGCCGCACCCGAGAGAGGAACUGAUUCCGAACUGCCCCUGCGUUUGGGGCCCAAGGUUAUUUCCCAGGGUUCAUCUCUGAUGGGUGGGCAGGCAAGCGCUUCCGGCAGCUUCUCAGGCCUGCGCUGCACAAAUGCGAACGAGGACUGGAUGUCGGCGCUGUGUCCCCGGCUCUGGGAUGUGCCCCUCCACCACCUCUCCAUCCCAGGGAGCCACGACACCAUGACGUACUGCCUCAACAAGAAGUCACCCAUUUCCCAGGAAGAGUCCCGGCUGCUGCAGCUGCUCAACAAAGCGUUCCCCUGCAUCACGCGCCCCGUGGUGCUGAAAUGGUCCGUCACCCAGGUGCUGGACGUCACGCAGCAGCUGGACGCGGGCGUGCGGUACUUAGAUCUGCGCAUCGCGCACAUGCUGCGCGGCUCUGAGAAGAACCUGCAUUUUGUUCACAUGGUCUACACCACGGCGCUGGUGGAGGACACGCUCACGGAGAUCUCAGAGUGGCUGGAGCGGCACCCUCGUGAGGUCGUCAUCCUGGCCUGCAGGAAUUUCGAGGGGCUGACCGAGGACCUUCACGAGUACCUGAUCUCCUGCAUCAAGACCAUCUUUGGGGACAUGCUGUGUCCCCGCGGGGAGGCCGCAACGCUGAGGCAGCUGUGGGCACGGGGCCAGCAGGCCAUCGUGUCCUAUGACCACGAGCGCUCCCUGGCCCGGCACCGGGAGCUCUGGCCGGGAAUCCCCUACUGGUGGGGGAACAAGGUGAAGACGGACGCCCUCAUCCGGUACCUGGAGACCAUGAAGAGCUGCGGCCGCCCAGGAGGGCUGUUUGUGGCCGGCAUCAACCUCACUGAGAACCUGCCGUACGUCCUGGCGCACCCGUCUGAGUCCCUGGAGAAGAUGACGACCCCCAACCUGCCGUGCCUGCGGGCGUGGGUCCGGGAGCAGUGCCCGGGGCCGGGGACCCGCUGCACCAACAUUAUCGCGGGAGACUUCGUCGGCGACGACAGCUUCGUCAGCGACGUCAUCGCACUGAACCGGAAGCUGCUGUGAUGCUGACGGGGACCCUUCUGAAGUCCGGGACGCCGCGGCUGCAGACAUGGUGUCCAGGCUGGUCCCAAACUCUUCAGCUCAGCUCAUCGUCAACCUCCCACGUAAGCUGGGACCUCAGCCGUCAGCCACCUCGCCCAGGCCGAGUGGCUGAUGACGACCCGGACGUCGGCCUCUCCAUCCUCGGGGAUCACGUGCACCUGCUGGACGGUGGCCUCCUCAUGUAGCCAGCUGGGGACCGAGGCGCGUCGCGUGGAAAAGCAGAACCCGUGAGCGUUCGGAGACGCUGCUGCAGCUGCAUGAACGAUUCUCCUAAAAACACCCAAGACGGCGGGGCGGUGAGGCAGGCCGGGAAAGGCGCGGGAGCGGGCGGUGCCACGGAGGGUCUGCGGGGCACGGGGGCUGCUCUUCCUGCCGCGUUCCCAGCAGUGGCGCCAACACUGUCCCUUUCGCUGAGAAAGGGCUGCGGUCGGCCGGGCGCGGCGGCUCACACCUGUCAUCGGGCACUUUGAGGCC